AGCUGCGCGUUGAACACAUAGCGAGCUAUUCUUUCGCCUUUUACUAAAGAAUACCGUGUGUUCGUCGCAAUCCAAGUAGUAUACACCAUUUUUUGGAGGGUAUUUUCACUAUAGAAGAUC